GGGAAACUAAGUCGGAUAAGUUUCCUGUUGGACUUGUUGCUGCUCUUGCUAGUGUAGCAGCAGUUUCUUUCCUUGUGGCUGUUCUGUAUGGUCUGUUUGUGUUGAGAAGUCACAGAAAAAGAAAACAAGAAUCAGUUUCGACAUGGAAACAAACGUCAUUUCACAAAUUAGACUUCACAGAAUCAGACAUUGUAUCCAAUCUGACCGAAAACAACAUAAUUGGAAGUGGAGGAUCAGGACAAGUGUACCUCGUGCCUUUAAGCCGAUCAGGUGACUAUGUUGCUGUCAAGAGGAUAUGGAGAAACCAAAGGUUGGAUCACAAGCAUGAGAAACAGUUUCUUGCUGAAGUUCAGAUAUUAGG
rnacentral:misc_RNA from 1 species